rnacentral:rRNA from 1 species
GACGAACGCUGGCGGCGUGCUUAACACAUGCAAGUCGAACGCUGAAGCACCAGCUUGCUGGUGUGGAUGAGUGGCGAACGGGUGAGUAAUACGUGAGUAACCUGCCCUUGACUCUGGGAUAAGCCCGGGAAACUGGGUCUAAUACUGGAUGCUACAUGUCACCGCAUGGUGGUGUGUGGAAAGGGUUUACUGGUCUUGGAUGGGCUCACGGCCUAUCAGCUUGUUGGUGAGGUAAUGGCUCACCAAGGCGACGACGGGUAGCCGGCCUGAGAGGGUGACCGGCCACCCUGGGACCGAGACACGGCCCAGACUCCUAAGGGAGGCAGCAGGGGGGAAGAUUGCACAAUGGGCGAAAGCCUGGUGCAGCGACGCCGCGGGAGGGAUGACGGCCUUCGGGUUGUAAACCUCUUUCAGCAGGGAAGAAGCCACAAGUGACGGUACCUGCAGAAGAAGCGCCGGCUAACUACGUG